UACGAAGGGGGCUAGCGUUGCUCGGAAUCACUGGGCGUAAAGGGUGCGUAGGCGGGUCUUUUAAGUCAGGGGUGAAAUCCCAGAGCUCAACUCUGGAACUGCCUUUGAUACUGUCGAUCUGGAGUAUGGAAGAGGUGAGUGGAAUUCCGGAGUGUAGAGGUGAAAUUCGUAGAUAUUCGGAGGAACACCAGUGGCGAAGGCGGCUCACUG
rnacentral:rRNA from 1 species